AUUGAACGCUGGCGGCAGGCCUAACACAUGCAAGUCGAGCGGAGCGGCGGACGGGUGAGUAAUGCCUAGGAAUUUGCAUGGUAGUGGGGGAUAACGUCCGGAAACGGGCGCUAAUACCGCAUACUAUCAGAUGAGCCUAGGUGGUAUUAGCUAGUUGGUGGGGUAAUGGCUUACCAAGGCGACGAUCCGUCACUGGUCUGAGAGGAUGAUCAGUCACACUGGAACUGAGACACGGUCCAGACUCCUACGGGAGGCAGCAGUGGGGAAUAUUGGACAAUGGGCGAAAGCCUGAUCCAGCAAUGCCGCGUGUGUGAAGAAGGUCUUCGGAUUGUAAAGCACUUUAAGUAGGGAGGCGUUACCAACAGAAUAAGCACCGGCUAACUACGUGCCAGCAGCCGCGGUAAUAC
rnacentral:rRNA from 1 species